AUCAAAUAACAAUCACCGUCUCAAUCUUCAUUCUAAUCGUUAGCCACAAAACACGCCCCUUAUGUUACGGCAGAGCGCUCUCUCUCUGGGCAGUGAAGAGGCGACACUCCUCUAUAUCUCAGUUCACUUCUCUUCUAAAAGAAAUUUCCCCAUUUUUUCCUUGCCAGAAAGAAAACCUCAUCUCUUCGUCACUGUUGGUUGUCUUUGUGGCUUCAAUCACCGUCUCAAUCUUCAUUCUACCGUCAUUCAACUGUUUUGUAGUUGUAAUGUCGUCUCAAUCGUCAUUUAACUCGCCGAUAAGUAGGUUUGCUUUUGGCUGGAUGGCGAAGGUAUCGAUUUUUAGGGUAUUAAAAAUGAAUGUUUUGUUUGGAUUGGGUAUUCACUAUUUUACGCCCAAAAUGUAAAAUUAUCUACAACCUCUUUGAUUUCUGAAUACUAAUGUUGCUUUCUCUCUGGCAAUGACAGAUGCAUAUAUGCUCAAAUGUAUUAGACUUGACUUGUAAGUGUCAUUGUCUUGCUUUCAUUUCUGCAAGCAUUGAGAAUAGGGGUGGCUUUGUCUCAAACAUGCCAGGUUGUGAACUGUAACCAUCUUUUACCCAGUUCAUUGUUUUAAUAAUCUAUUCAUCUUAAUUUGUCGGAGAAAUUAUUGAAAAGUUCAUUAAAAUAAACUAUAAUCAUGGUUUAAUGUAUACGGAAUUGAUGUUCUAAACAAAUAUAAUUGUUUGGUCAUUCAUUGUUAAUCGGCUGCAUCUAUUAUUAACUCAGUUUCCAGUUUAUUCAACUCUUUAUAUCGGUCAAAUCUAUCUGGAUGGAGAAUAAUUUCAAAUUUUUAAUAUUCCCACUUCCGUUUUCCUAAAAGUCUCUCUUACAUUCAAUGAGUUAUUUGCUUGGCAUUCUGAUAGGAUUAGUUGAUAGGAGAUUUGUGGCAAUACAUUCACUUGAUAAAUACUUCAACAUUAAUACAUUUGUUGUGUUUCACAGUAUGGUUGGGGUGAAAUUUUGGGCUUUUUGAUUAAUAUUUUGGGUUCUGAAGUGAUAAUUUCUCUGUCUUGAGAUAUAGCUUUAUUGUCUUGCAACUUCUUACAUUGAGCAUUAUUUUGCUGUUGUUUUCCCUUCAAUUUCCGACUCUUCCCUGCUUAUGUUGGUGUAAAUUUUGAGUUUAAGAACUAAAAUCCUUGAAAGUCUUCUGAGUGUUAAAUCUGAAGAGAUUGAAGGGGAGUUGCUGCUUUAUGAAUUUUAGUAGAAGAGCCUAAGAAAGAAUCUGGCUUGUUUAAAUUAUAAGGACAACUCUGCAUAGUGUGGAAAUUUAAAUGAAUUUAAGUGAAAAUUCACAUAUGAUCCUCAUUGUCAGAAAGUUUUGAACACAUUACUGUACUUCAAAGUUUUGGUGAUGGAAUGAGAGCUCCUGGAAGACAACAAACCUCUUGUACGAGGUUGAAAUUUCUAGCACUAAUCUGUAGUUUUAAUGAGCAUAACAUUAGCUUAUCACAAAUAUAUUUAUGUAUUCCAUCUGUAACUUGUAGCUACUUUAACAAUAAAUUUGUUAACAUCACUUUCUGCUUCGGAAUUUUUAAGUGGAUAUUUUCCUUCUUGUAAUGGCUAGUUAUUUUGGUUUGUUGAUGAAAAUAUGAAUAAUUUUUGUUCAAUUGAUGACUCAUACUUUUGUUUUUUAAAAAUAAUUUGUAAUGGUUGUAGAGGCUUAUGUAUUUAUUUCCUUUGCCUUUUCACCGUCUUUUCUGUCCAGAUAGUGUAUUUCUGUUUUUGCAAUUACAGAUUAUCAAAUGACACUAUAAGCCUUUCCCUUUUUCGGAUUUUUUUUGUUUGGUAUAGCUUUAAGGUCUAGCUAAUGCAUUCAUAAAGCUGUGGAACCUCUUGGAGACACCUGUCAAUGAGCAAAGAAAAUUUGACCAUGUUACUAGUUUAGCUUCUUCCUCAAUUGAAAAAGUUGUGAGACAAGGAUGCCUUGCUCUAGAUGUUAUCGGGCAAAUAAUCUGAAAGCCAGCAAGAUGAAAGAGUUGGUAUUCAAGAGGCAAAAUGAGCUUAAAGAAAUCUACAGAGGGGUUCAUAAGGAUGUAGAAAGUGAUGCAGCAUGACACAGUAUUCUCAUCAGCUUGAUAUGUUCAGAUUCCUUCUUUCCACAAAAGAUACACUCCAGAAUCCGUGUGUUGACACAACGUUCUCUCUCCGCCCCAGGAAGAGUCAACAGACCGUCAUAUUAUAGGCCAACUAUUUCCCACCCAAUGUUUGAUGAGAUGAUUUCUACUCACUAAAUUUCAAACAUUCAAAAUCCCACCACCCAUCACCCACAUUUGUUAAAAACUGCUGUUUGAUUUUUCUAAAAUGACUACUUUACCCUUUUUCUUUCAGGAUUUUAAUAUUUUAUGAUCUCCAUGUUUUCCAAUAUUUUCAAAACUUGCCUAAGAAACUCAUUGCCUCUCUCCCUAUGCCCAUCUCUCACUGUAACAUCACCACCGAAACAAAAACAUCAACAAAUGCCACCCUCUUUUUCUUUACUCCCAGAUCUCCCUUUCAUGAUUUCUUAGCGAUGCAGCUCAAAAUUUUUCUUAUUUUUUCUGUUGUUAUGGCGAAUCUUCAAAGAUUCAAACUUUUGGUCACCCACUGCAUUGUCGUCAGCAGUCCCACAGAUCCCAACCACUAGUCCAGUUGUCCACCUUCGCCACCGCAAGACUCUUCAGAUGCGACAGAGAAGAAAUGGGCGACCUGUGUGUAAAAUGAUAGAAAUCAAGAGACUGGUGUCUAAGAUCUCUCCAAAGCGUCAAAAAUGUGAAAUAAAAAGAAAUAAAAAAAUAGAGAAAAAAGAAAAAAUCGAAAAAUUUAUAGAAAAUGACUUUUCUAUCCUUUUACUUAACGAAUUUUACUAAUAGAAGUGGAUAAUAAGUGAGAAUUUAAUUUAUUUAAAAUUUAGAAGGUAUGAAUUAUUAUGUCAUCAAACUUAGAUGGGAAAUAGUCUUUUGACCUGUAUUAUAUGGCCAUGAAUGUGUACCAGCAUAAUUGAGCUAGGGUUGAGAGAAGACAUUGAGAACUAUGCUAUAUGGUUUAUUGCAAGAGUAAAAGUAUACAUAUAAAUAAAUUUGUUUAUUUGUAUAGAUUAAUAUGAUAAUUUGUGAUUUUGUAAUAUGAGUAUUUAUUUUUCUUCUCACUUCAAAAUUAACCUAAUCACAAAUUGUUUGAUUGUA